CCCCGGCGCUCCCCCCGCCCUCCCGCACGGAGCCCUCCUCCUCCUCCUCCUCCUCCUCCCCGUGCUGCUGCCCCUGCCCCUCUUCUCCCUCCUCCCCCUGCUCCUCCUGCUGCCGCUCUCAGUGCCGCUCUCGCCUCGCUGCCGCGCGGACGCUCGGGGGCCGGAGCGGGGGGACGCGCCGGGGCCGGAGCAGGAGCGGGGAGCAGGAGCGGGGAGCCCCGCGGGGCGGCUCGGUCGGUGCGUACGUACCGGUCAUGGCGCGGGUGCGAGCGGGCGGCCGGCGGGGCGGACGGCGGGCGGGCCGGCUGUGGCUGGCGCGCAGGCCCCGCGGGCCGGGCUAGGCGGCCGCCGCCGGGGACAUGCUUAUUGUGCUCACGGGCUGAAGCGGCGGCGGCGGCCCGAGCCUACUCCGGGCUUUUUUUUCCUAUUUUGAUUGACGGUGCGGGAAAGCCGAAAGGUGGGGCUUGCAGCGGGAGAGGGGGCCCGGCCGACACCGCCGCCCGCCCGCCCGCCUGCCAGCCCGGAACUCCCGCCUACGCUCGCGCGCGCGCGUUGAUUGGCCGCGCCUCGGCGCCGGCGCCGCUCGCACUGGCCGCCCGGCCUGUCAGUCACACGCCGGGGGCGGGGGGGGCGCCUCGCGCCGAGGCGGCUUCCUGUUUGCCGGGGCUGCUGCGAGGAACAAUGAGCGGCGGCGGCCCCAGCACCGCGGGCACCGCGCACACCGGGACGGGACGGCGGGGCCCUGGCCGCGGGGUCACUCGGAGGCCGCGUCCCCCGCGGUGCCCGUUGGGGCCGGCCCGGUUCUGCGCUCGUUCUCAGCCACCUCGGUGUGGUGCCGGCGGCGGAGCCCGCGCUCCGGCAGCGCUAAGAUGUCGGCCGGCGAUCCCCGGGGAGCACAGUCGCCCGGGCGGCCGCCGCUUGACGGGCUGCCGUGCCGGCCCCUGGCGGCCGCUGUCGGGGAGGGCUCGGGGCCGCGGCGGUUGCGUAAGGAGCUGGCGGCUGCUGCUCGCACCUGGUGUCCGGCCGAGCGGCUCCAGCGUCAGGCAGAGCCCUACAGCAGCGUCCUGCGGGCAGGAACAUAACGCCUCGCCUCACAGAAGGGGCCGAGCAGGUCGUGCACACGGGUUUCUCUCAGUCACAAUAAGGGAUGUUAAUAUUCCCCUUGCCAUCUGCCCGCUAUGUCCCUCGUGUUUUGCGACACGACGAAAACAAGGAAACUGA
rnacentral:lncRNA from 1 species